UGCACCAGAUAACAACUGCUCCCCCUAAGUAUCUUCGUCUCCGUAAUCAUCCACGCUUAUUACAGGAAAGAGCCGGGCCGUGGUUAUUACCGUCCGCACAAAGGAAGAAGAGCCGAGCUUCCCUUUUUGCGAAGUCUCGCCGCAAAAUUAAAGCUCGGCCCGCCAUAUCCCCGCUACCGACAGCGAGUCAAGAGGAGAGGCCAGAGAUGAAGAGGCCGGAAGAAAGGAGCCAAGGAGGAGGCGGGACCUGCUAAGGGUCGUUUCUGCCGAACCGGUGAGAACCGCCCUCGAAGUUUCGGGGCUGAAACUUUCUUGUUCGACGGCCACGGAAAAAGGACGCUCGGGGUGCCGGUGGUCUCGCUGUUCUCUCAUCUUGGUCCAACUCGUUCCACGGACGAAAAUACCGGCGAAAACAAUGGAACGGAAGCGGCGCGGGGCGGGUAAGGCCGGACGCGUUUCCCGAUGCGUCAUGCGGUACAGCUAAGUGAAAAAAAGAAGAAGAGGACCAAAACAAGGCAUCGCGAUUCCGAUUGGCAAAAAGCCGAGUCCCGCGGAAUCACUGCUCGUCAGCGUGUCGAGGAUGCUCGAGAUUCUUCGGCGAAGUUUUUACGCGUGGACGCGCAUAAAAAUGGACGACGGGCGAGCUCUCUUUCCUUCACGGUGACGUUAAAGGGGAUGCGCGAGGCAAGGGGUUGCAAUCCCGGCGUGUUCCCAUGACGUUUUCUUGGAGGUCGAACCUUUGAAAGACUUCCGCUCGCUGCACAGCGCAACUGAAUCCAAGAAAUGUUCGAACGUCCAUGCGUAUUUGCGGAAUAUAAAAUUAGUAGACGAGAAUUCUACAAAUCUUUGGAUGUUAGUCGCUGUAUAUUCUGCUUCAGUAUUUUCUGUUUCGACGUUCUUGCAUUAACAUAUGCUGUUUCGCAAAUCGCACAAAAUGUUUGAUCGAGAUAAAUUUCUUCCUUCGCGCGUCUCUUUCGAUGUUUUUUCAAAUACGACUCCUCGUGUCACGGUAAAUCGUCGAUUUCGGUCAUUAUUCCACGAGGUAAUUGAUUGUAAAUGCUUUAAGUGAGUAUAUUAAAAUAGAACGUGCGAGAACUAUAUACCGUUCAAUUUCAGGAAAAUGUGUAUACUUCUUUGAAUUCAUCCUUUUUGAAAUCCUUUCUCGAUGUAUGGAUUUCUCUGAAAAAUGAUAGAUAAAGAGAUUGUAUAACGAUAUAA